rnacentral:rRNA from 1 species
GCGUGGAGCAUGUGGCUUAAUUUGACUCAACGCGGGAAAUCUUACCGGGUCCGGACACACUGAGGAUUGACAGGCAAUAUAUGUGACUCUUCGGAGUUUGCAUUGUUAAAUAUGCUAGUCCUUUCAUGAUUAUGUGAUAGGUGGUGCAUGGCCGUUCUUAGUUCGUGGAGUGAUCUGUCUGCUUAAUUGCGUUUCAAAUUACUUAUAAGGUAGCAAUACGCGAUGAAGCUUUCAAUAGUCCUCACGGAUUCACUUGAGUCUCUCGCUUCGCUAUCCUUUCGAAUGCAACGAACGUGACCGCAACCUCUUGUUGCCUUCGUUUAACAUCCUGCAGCUCGCUGUGGGUACUGAGGGCUUCACUCGGUGACUUUGGGCUGAGCAAUCGGUCUUUUGAUCUGAGUAAACUANAGGGACCGCUGUCAACUUCUUAAACCANAGGAAGGUUGCGGCAAUAACAGGUCUGUG